AUUGAACGCUGGCGGCAGGCCUAACACAUGCAAGUCGAGCGGAUGACGGGAGCUUGCUCCUUGAUUCAGCGGCGGACGGGUGAGUAAUGCCUAGGAAUCUGCCUGGUAGUGGGGGACAACGUUUCGAAAGGAACGCUAAUACCGCAUACGUCCUACGGGAGAAAGCAGGGGACCUUCGGGCCUUGCGCUAUCAGAUGAGCCUAGGUCGGAUUAGCUAGUUGGUGGGGUAAUGGCUCACCAAGGCGACGAUCCGUAACUGGUCUGAGAGGAUGAUCAGUCACACUGGGACUGAGGCACGGUCCAGACUCCUACGGGAGGCAGCAGUGGGGAAUAUUGGACAAUGGGCGAAAGCCUGAUCCAGCCAUGCCGCGUGUGUGAAGAAGGUCUUCGGAUUGUAAAGCACUUUAAGUUGGGAGGAAGGGCAGUAAGCUAAUACCUUGCUGUUUUGACGUUACCGACAGAAUAAGCACCGGCUAACUCUGUGCCAGCCGCCGCAGUAAAAC
rnacentral:rRNA from 1 species